UGAGGAAUAUUGGUCAAUGGACGAGAGUCUGAACCAGCCAUGCCGCGUGAAGGAUGAAGGCGUUCUGCGUUGUAAACUUCUUUUGCGGGGGAAGAAACCUUGAUAUUCUUAUCAAGCCGACGGUACCCCGAGAAUAAGCACCGGCUAACUACGUGCCAGCAGCCGCGGUAAUACGUAGGGUGCGAGCGUUAAUCGGAAUUACUGGGCGUAAAGCGUGCGCAGGCGGUGAUGCAAGACAGUUGUGAAAUCCCCGGGCUCAACCUGGGAAUUGCAUUUGAAACUGCUCCCCUAGAGGGUAGGCGGAGAAAACGGAAUUCCACAAGUAGCGGUGAAAUGCGUAGAUAUGUGGAAGAACACCGGUGGCGAAAGCGGUUUUCUAGCUUAUUCCUGACGCUGAGGCGCGAAAGCAAGGGGAUCAAACA
rnacentral:rRNA from 1 species